rnacentral:rRNA from 1 species
UACGUAGGGUGCAGGCGUUAAUCGGAAUUACUGGGCGUAAAGCGUGCGCAGGCGGUUUUGUAAGUCUGUCGUGAAAUCCCCGGGCUUAACCUGGGAAUGGCAUUUGUGACUGGAAGGCUAGAGUGUGUCAGAGGGGGGUAGAAUUCCACGUGUAGCAGUGAAAUGCGUAGAGAUGUGGAGGAAUACCGAUGGCGAAGGCAGCCCCCUGGGAUAACACUGACGCUCAUGCACGAAAGCGUGGGGAGCAAACAGG